ensembl:misc_RNA 7SK 7SK RNA
GGAUGUGAGGGCGAUCUGGCUGCGACAUCUGUCACCCCAUUGAUCACCAGGGUUGAUUCGGCUGAUCUGGCUGGCUAGGCGGGUGUCCCCUUCCUCCCUCACCGCUCCAUGUGCGUCCCUCCCGAAGCUGCGCGCUCAGUCGAAGAGGACGACCAUCCCCGAUGGAGGAGGACCGUUCUUCGGUCAAGGGUAUACGAGUAGCUGCGCUCCCCUGCUAGAACCUCCAAACAAGCUCUCAAGGGGUAUGACAUUUAUUGCUACACAUUUUCAUAAGUCAAUCAACAAUGCCUGGCCAUUUGGGUUGUU